rnacentral:rRNA from 1 species
AAUCAACGCUGGCGGCGUGCCUAACACAUGCAAGUCGAACGCGAAAGGGGACUUCGGUUCCUGAGUAGAGUGGCGUCCGGGUGAGUAACACGUGGGUAAUCUGCCUUCGGGUGGGGAAGUAACUCAGGGAAACGUUAGAGCUAAUACCGCAUAAUGCAGCGGCACCUAAUGGUGAUUAGUUGUUAAAGCGGGGGAUCGCAAGACCUCGCGCCUGAAGAGGAGCCUGCGGCAGANAGUCUAGUUGGUAAGGUAAUGGCUUACCAAGGCUUCGAUCUGUAGCUGGUCUGAGAGGACGGCCAGCCACACUGGCACUGACACACGGGCCANACUCCUACGGGAGGCAGCAGUGGGGAAUUUUGGG